ACUCCUACGGGAGGCAGCAGUAGGGAAUAUUGGGCAAUGGAUGCAAGUCUGACCCAGCCAUGCCGCGUGCCGGAUGAAGGCCCUCAGGGUUGUAAACGGCUUUUAUUCGGGAAGAAGAGCAGGGAUGCGUCCUUGUGUGACGGUACCGAAUGAAUAAGCACCGGCUAACUCCGUGCCAGCAGCCGCGGUAAUACGGAGGGUGCGAGCGUUGUCCGGAUUUAUUGGGUUUAAAGGGUGCGUAGGUGGCUUAAUAAGUCAGUGGUGAAAUACAGCCGCUCAACGGUUGAGGUGCCAUUGAUACUGUUAAGCUUGAAACAAGUGGAGGCUGCCGGAAUGGAUGGUGUAGCGGUGAAAUGCAUAGAUAUCAUCCAGAACACCGAUUGCGAAGGCAGGUGGCUACGUUUGAUUUGACACUGAGGCACGAAAGCAUGGGGAGCAAACA
rnacentral:rRNA from 1 species